AUGUACAUUCCUACUAUGUUAAUGUACCAGAUCCUAUUGGAACUCUAAAUUUAAGAAUGCUUGGACAAGAGGAGUAUUGGGAUGGGUGACCUCCUUAGAAGUCCUAGUGUUUUACAUG
rnacentral:rRNA from 1 species